rnacentral:rRNA from 1 species
AGGACGAACGCUGGCGGCGUGCUUAACACAUGCAAGUCGAGCGGUGACCCUCCUUCGGGAGGUGAUCAGCGGCGAACGGGUGAGUAACACGUGGGCAACCUGCCCCUCACACUGGGAUAACCUCGGGAAACCGGGCUAAUACCGGAUACGACCUCGAGCGGCAUCUCUUGAGGUGGAAAGCUCCGACGGUGAGGGAUGGGCCCGCGGCCUAUCAGCUUGUUGGUGGGUAAUGGCCUACCAAGGCGACGACGGGU